CCGUUCGUUAUUGUUUAUGUUGGACUUCCCGUACUGCAUGUUCCGGCGUUCCGGCGUUCCUACAGGACUUCUUUCAUCCGUUUCAUCCGGACUCCAGAAUCCCGUACCGGCUGCGCUUCCCCACCCUGUGCAUCUCGGUUACCCUUCAACCAGUUUAUGAUGAAGCGCUCUCUCUUUCUCCCAUGUUUAACAGGUGUUGUCCCAGUCAUCCUUUCUCUUCUGCGACCUGUUUCUCGCAAAUAUAAUCUAAUCAAGACUACGGUAACAUGGUCAGCUGCACAGAAUUACUGCAGGGAAACAUACGAUGACCUGGCUACAAUUGAAAGUGACAAUGACUGGUUCAAAUUAAAGAAAACUUUGUCAAGUGAACCCUUGACAGAUGUUGCCUGGGUCGGCUUGUACAAUAAUAUUGACAGCUGGAAAUGGUCCUUUUAUGAUGUCCCACUGAAAAAUACUUUUGUGCAGUGGAUAUCCUGAUUAUUCGAAUGGGAAAGCAACAUGUUGUCUAACAAGCCCAAGUGUACAGUUGUACAAUAACCCUUGCACAUCAGUUUAUCCUUUUAUUUGUUUCAAUGGUGAGAAUUAUUUUUACUUUUUUCCUAUUACUAAAAAAGUUACACAAUUUGAAUUCCAUGAUUUAAAAAAAAUAUAUUGUUUUUGCUAGGUGAUAUAGUUUGUGUUUCACUUAUUGGCACCUGUCAUUACAAAUUAGCAAAAUUAUUAUAUAAAAAGAUUAAGUAAGUAAUAAGUGCUAUUUUGAACUUAAUUUAGCAGAGAUGGCACAUACUGUUGCUUACACUUUUCUCAUUAGUACAAAAGUUUUCCUAGUGCAUUUAUUUCUAAAAUAAAAACCUGUUUUAAAAAUUA